CAAAGAUUAAGCCAUGCAUGUCUAAGUAUAAAUAAAUUUAUAUUGUGAAACUGCGAAUGGCUCAUUAAAUCAGUUAUGAUCUACGUGACAUAUUCUUUACUACUUGGAUAACCGUGGUAAUUCUAGAGCUAAUACAUGCAAAAAAGCCCUGACUUCGGAAGGGGUGCACUUAUUAGAUAAAACCAACACUGGGUAAAACCAGCUUCCCUUGGUGAUUCAUAAUAAUUUAGCGGAUCGCAUGGCCUUGUGCUAGCGACAGUCCACUCGAUUUUCUGCCCUAUCAUGGUUGAGAUUGUAAGAUAGAGGCUUACAAUGCCUACAACGGGUAACGGGGAAUUAGGGUUCGAUUCCGGAGAGGGAGCCUGAGAAACGGCUACCACAUCCAAGGAAGGCAGCAGGCGCGCAAAUUACCCAAUCCCGACACGGGGAGGUAGUGACAAUAAAUAACAAUGCAGGGCCUUUAAGGUCUUGCAAUUGGAAUGAGUACAAUUUAAAUCCCUUAGCGAGGAUCAAUUGGAGGGCAAGUCUGGUGCCAGCAGCCGCGGUAAUUCCAGCUCCAAUAGCGUAUAUUAAAGUUGUUGCAGUUAAAACGUCCGUAGUCAAAUUUUAGUCUUUAGAUGAGGGUGGUCUGGUCUUCAUUGAUCAAACUCGCCUUUAUCGAGACUUUUUUUCUGGUUAUGCUGUGAAAAUGACCUCGGUUGUUUUUGCAGUCUCUUAUCCAGAUGAUUACCAUGAGCAAAUCAGAGUGUUUAAAGCAGGCUUUUAAGCUUGAAUGUGUUAGCAUGGAAUAAUGAAAUAUGACUAAAGUCCCUAUUUCGUUGGUUAAGGAACUUGAGUAAUGAUGAAUAGAAACGGUUGGGGACACUUGUAUUUGGGCGCUAGAGGUGAAAUUCUUGGAUUGCCCGAAGACAAACUACUGCGAAAGCAUUUGAUCCAGGACGUUUUCAUUGAUCAAGGUCUAAAGUUAAGGGAUCGAAGACGAUUAGAUACCGUCGUAGUCUUAACCACAAACUAUGCCGACUAGAGAUUGGGCUUGUUUAUUAUGACUAGCUCAGCAUCUUAGCGAAAGUAAAGUUUUUGGGUUCUGGGGGGAGUAUGGGACGCAAGGCUGAAACUUAAAGGAAUUGACGGAAGGGCACCACCAGGAGUGGAGCCUGCGGCU
rnacentral:rRNA from 1 species